rnacentral:rRNA from 1 species
UACUCGGUAUAGCUCCGACUCUUGAUUUUCUUCUCCGACUCGAUCGCACUGUGCUGGAGCUUCAUCAAUCUGCCUAUCAACUUUGUGGUAGGAUGAGGCCUAUGGACGGGACGGAGAAUUAGGGUUCGACGGAGAGGGAGCCUACGGCUACC